UUGUAAUUAAAAAUUAUAAUUCUUUAAAUAAGGAUAAAAUUGUAAUUUGAAAUUAUUUACUCUCAAUCCAAGACAAAGUAAACACAUAAAUUGGAUUCUGAUCUCCAUUCCAUGCUUCCAUUCCAGUGUAAGUAAACAACCUACCCCCACUUCCACUUCCACUCCACACUCCCAAUCAUAAGAUUCCCACUCCCCAAAAUUUCCAAUCUAAAAUUUCUAAUACAAUCUAAAAAGUAAACGCUAUCAUAAUGUUGGAAAGUAGUUGCCAAUAUUUAUGAUAUGCGUCAGCCUCGAAUUGCAUGUGCACGCACUCCACCGAAAGGUAGGUGGCAUUCAAAACUACAUUGAAAGAAACGCAUUGUUUUUUCGGAAGUAGCAUGCAUUUUCAAUUGAAAUGACUAUUGGUUGCCAUGAUUACGACAUUGUCUAUCCAUAUGAUUACAACUGUGUAUUGCAAUGUGAGGAAGUGCUCAAAUCAUCUGUUAUACCUUUAAUAUUUAAAAUUAAAAUGACUAUCGGUUAGAUUUAGUGGCUGCUAGAUACAUUAUAUUCCAUGCUAUUACUGAUCCAAUCAAAUCAUUUUAAAUUUGUCCAAUCUUGACUAUUAAGGUGAUGUAUCUCAUAUGAAGUAUUGAUUAAGAUUUCAGACAAAAAAAUUACAGAUAGGUUGAAAAAUAAGAGUUUGAAAGCGAGUAUAAUUGAAUGAGUUCAGGAGACGUUAGCUCUGAUGUCAUGUCCAUAAAAUAAAUCCAUAUAUAGGUGGUGUUUGAAAUUUAAUCCUUGUUAUUAAUAAUUUAGUAAUUAUCGUUAACUUAAUAUAUGUAAGAUCACAAUCAAGAUAUAUAAUAUAUGUAAGAUCACAAUUAAGAUAUAUAAAAGAAGAAAUAUCUCAAAACAACUCUAUCAAUAUACUUAAUUUUAUUUAAGAGUAUCUUGUUAACUUGAAAUUUCUUCGCACAAGUCAAGAGAGUCAUUUAUGCACACACAUCAAAGGGGUCAUAUAUACAAUGACAAUAAAAUAUUAAUUUUCUAACUUGCUUACUAUUAUCUAUUUGCAACAAUUUUGAAUGUGUCCUACUGAAAAUAUACCUUGUUAUCAUAAUUAUGUCAACUGCAUUCAUGUUUCAUUUUUUAAGUA
rnacentral:lncRNA from 1 species